rnacentral:rRNA from 1 species
GAUGAACGCUGGCGGCGUGCCUAAUACAUGCAAGUCGAGCGAACAGACGAGGAGCUUGCUCCUCUGACGUUAGCGGCGGACGGGUGAGUAACACGUGGAUAACCUACCUAUAAGACUGGGAUAACUUCGGGAAACCGGAGCUAAUACCGGAUAAUAUAUUGAACCGCAUGGUUCAAUAGUGAAAGACGGUUUUGCUGUCACUUAUAGAUGGAUCCGCGCCGCAUUAGCUAGUUGGUAAGGUAACGGCUUACCAAGGCAACGAUGCGUAGCCGACCUGAGAGGGUGAUCGGCCACACUGGAACUGAGACACGGUCCAGACUCCUACGGGAGGCAGCAGUAGGGAAUCUUCCGCAAUGGGCGAAAGCUUGACGGAGCAACGCCGCGUAAGUGAUGAAGGUCUUCGGAUCGUAAAACUCUGUUAUUAGGGAAGAACAAAUGUGUAAGUAACUAUGCACGUCUUGACGGUACCUGAUAAAAAAGCCACGGCUAACUACGUG